rnacentral:rRNA from 1 species
UGAGGAACAUGACCUUCGGCGGGGGAGUAGCCGGCCCAACGGCCGGGUAAUACCGCGUACGACCACAUGGGGACAUCCCCGAGUGGUGAAAGCAGCAAUGCGCCGAUGGAGUGCCUCGCGGCCUAUCAGCUAAUUGGUGAGGUAACGGCUCACCAAGGCGACGACGGGUAGCUGGUCUGAGAGGAUGGCCAGCCACAUUGGGACUGAGACACAGCCCAGACCUGUACCGGGGA